GGGUCAGUAGGCUGGUCGUGCCACCGGUACGUACUGGUCUCACUGAUUCCUCCUUCCUGAAGAACCGUAAUGCCAUUAAUUUGGUGUUGCGGGAAACAGGACUGUUACUUUGAAAAAAUUAGAGUGUUUAAAGCAAGCUAACGCUUGAAUAUGUUAGCAUGGAAUAAUGAAAUAGGACGAUCGAUCCUAUUUUGUUGGUUUCUAGGAUUGACGUA
rnacentral:rRNA from 1 species